UGGGGAAUUUUGCACAAUGGGGGAAACCCUGAUGCAGCGACGCCGCGUGAUUUAGAAGGCCUUCGGGUUGUAAAAAUCUUUUCUAUGGGAAGAAAAUGACAGUACCAUAGGAAUAAGGACCGGCUAAUUACGUGCCAGCAGCCGCGGUAAUACGUAAGGUCCGAGCGUUGUCCGGAAUCAUUGGGCGUAAAGGGUACGUAGGCGGGUAAGCAAGUUAGAAGUGAAAUCCUAUAGCUCAACUAUAGUAAGCUUUUAAAACUGCUCAUCUUGAGGUAUGGAAGGGAAAGUGGAAUUCCUAGUGUAGCGGUGAAAUGCGCAGAUAUUAGGAGGAAUACCGGUGGCGAAGGCGACUUUCUGGCCAUAACCUUACGCUGAGGUACGAAAGCGUGGGUAGCAAACAGG
rnacentral:rRNA from 1 species